AAAGUAACUGGGAUUUAUUUCUGGGCUCUUGGGAAUGUUCACCACAUGUGGAUUGGUAAAAUAGCUGGGAUUUAUUUCUGGGAUCUUGGGAAUGUGUGUUCACCACAUGUGGAUUGGCAGUGUUGAGAAUCAGAGGAGUGAUGAUUUUCCUUUUUGAAUUUUCUCCAUUUUCUCUCACCUCAACAAUUCUUUUCAUUGAAUUCUUUUCAUUGCUCAUUGUAAUGCUCAGAAUCCUCUGAAAAUUCCACUGAAAUUCCCAACAAAUCUGCCAUUCCUGAAAUUAAGAACUGGCAAAAAAAAAAUGUAAUGAGUCAUAAAAUUGUUCUCCCAGAAUGCAGAACUUAAUAAAAUCUGGGCUAAUCACUCAUGGAAAAUGAGAAUGAGGUCAACUUCCAGUGGUCUCCAACUCAUCCAGAGACUCCAUAAAAAGUCCUUAAUUACCCUGGAAUUACUCAUCUCUUAUUGUUUUUUGUCUUCAUGGUGCUUGGGAUUUAUUUUCUCAGUAUUAGCUAAAUAGAUUUAAUUAGUUUAUCUACCUAAAUGUAAUUUAAAGUUGCUUUUGUAACUUUCUUAGGUCAUUAAAUACCAAAAAAGAGAGAGAUAA